rnacentral:rRNA from 1 species
GAUGAAUGCUGGCGGCAUGCUUUACACAUGCAAGUCGAACGGUAACAGGUUAAGCUGACGAGUGGCGAACGGGUGAGUAAUGCAUCGGAACGUGCCCGAUCGUGGGGGAUAACGCAGCGAAAGCUGCGCUAAUACCGCAUACGAUCUGAGGAUGAAAGCGGGGGACCGUAAGGCCUCGCGCGAUCGGAGCGGCCGAUGUCAGAUUAGGUAGUUGGUGGGGUAAAGGCUCACCAAGCCGACGAUCUGGAGCUGGUCUGAGAGGACGACCAGGCACACUGGGACUGAGACACGGCCCAGACUCCUACGGGAGGCAGCAGUGGGGAAUUUUGGACAAUGGGCGCAAGCCUGAUCCAGCAAUGCCGCGUGCAGGAAGAAGGCCUUCGGGUUGUAAACUGCUUUUGUACGGAGCGAGAAGGCUUUCCCUAAUACAGGAGGCUGAUGACGGUACCGUAAGAAUAAGCACCGGCUAACUACGUGCCAGCAGCCGCCGUAAUAC